rnacentral:rRNA from 1 species
CGGGAGUAACGUAUGGGGAUCUGCCCGAUAGAGGGGGAUAACUACUGGAAACGGUGGCUAAUACCGCAUAAUGUCUACGGACCAAAGCAGGGGCUCUUCGGACCUUGCACUAUCGGAUGAACCCAUAUGGGAUUAGCUAGUAGGUGGGGUAAAGGCUCACCUAGGCGACGAUCUCUAGCUGGUCUGAGAGGAUGAUCAGCCACACUGGGACUGAGACACGGCCCAG